rnacentral:rRNA from 1 species
UACGUAGGUGGCAAGCGUUGUCCGGAUUUACUGGGCGUAAAGGGCGUGCAGGCGGUUUGUUAAGUUCAGGGUGAAAGCUCCCGGCUCAACUGGGAGAGGUCCUUGGAUACUGGCAGACUUGAGGAGGGUAGAGGAGAGUGGAAUUCCCGGUGUAGUGGUGAUAUGCGUAGAUAUCGGGAGGAACACCAGUGGCGAAGGCGGCUCUCUGGGCCCUACCUGACGCUGAGACGCGAAAGCGUGGGGAGCAAACGGG